UGAAUUGUUACGUAUUGUCUG
rnacentral:piRNA from 1 species